GGUCAUAGCUCAGUGGCAGAGCAUCUAUUUUAAAUGCAGAUGGUUCCAGGUUCUAUCCCUGGCAUCUCCA
rnacentral:tRNA from 1 species